CCCUACGGGGUGCAAGCCGAUUGGAAGCAUUUCUCGCUUUCAUUCGAUCAAUUUCCGCAGAUUACCGAUUGGUCGAAUGUCGCCGAAGUUUCGUUCAUCAUCGAAUCAUGGAAUGCCGAAAAGAAAAACGGCGUUAUUCUCAUAGAUGAUAUUUGUUUUUCUACCUAGUUUACAUAGGAGGAGUGGUCAAUGAAAAUUAUUUCGAUUGCCAAUCAAAAGGGGGGGUGUGGGAAAACCACAACCGCUAUCAAUUUGGCGGCAAGCCUUGGCCUCAAUGGCAAGAAAACUUUAUUGAUCGACCUGGACCCUUAGGCCCAUGCGUCUUUGGGAUUAAAUUUUGAAAACCAGGACAGCCUUUAUAACGUGAUUUCCAAGCUCACUCCUCGCAAAUUGACGAUCAAGGAUAUUAUUAAAUCGGUUGAACGCACUUUUGAUUUGGUGCCUUCCAGCAUUUUGGUGGGAACGUUGGAACAGGAAUUGGCGGGGGGGC
rnacentral:rRNA from 1 species